rnacentral:rRNA from 1 species
UACGUAGGGGGCUAGCGUUGUCCGGAAUCAUUGGGCGUAAAGCGCGUGUAGGCGGCCCGGUAAGUCCGCUGUGAAAGUCGGGGGCUCAACCCUCGGAUGCCGGUGGAUACUGUCGGGCUAGAGUGCGGAAGAGGCGAGUGGAAUUCCCGGUGUAGCGGUGAAAUGCGCAGAUAUCGGGAGGAACACCAAUGGCGAAGGCAGCUCGCUGGGACGUGACUGACGCUGAGACGCGAAAGCGUGGGGAGCAAACAGG